UACGUAGGGUGCGAGCGUUGUCCGGAAUUAUUGGGCGUAAAGAGCUUGUAGGCGGUCUGUCGCGUCUGCUGUGAAAAUCCGGGGCUCAACCCCGGACUUGCAGUGGGUACGGGCAGACUAGAGUGUGGUAGGGGAGACUGGAAUUCCUGGUGUAGCGGUGAAAUGCGCAGAUAUCAGGAGGAACACCGGUGGCGAAGGCGGGACUCUGGGCCGAUACUGACGCUGAUGAGCGAAAGCGUGGGGAGCAAACAGG
rnacentral:rRNA from 1 species